rnacentral:tRNA from 1 species
AAGGAUUUAAGUUAAAUUCUAAACUGUUGACCUUCAAAGUCACUAAUGGGGCAUUCUAAUCCUUG